GACGAACGCUGGCGGCGUGCUUAACACAUGCAAGUCGAACGGAAAGGCCCUGCUUUUGUGGGGUGCUCGAGCGGCGAACGGGUGAGUAACACGUGAGUAACCUGCCCUUGACUUUGGGAUAACUUCAGGAAACUGGGGCUAAUACCGGAUAGGAGCUCCUGCUGCAUGGUGGGGGUUGGAAAGUUUCGGCGGUUGGGGAUGGACUCGCGGCUUAUCAGCUUGUUGGUGGGGUAGUGGCUUACCAAGGCUUUGACGGGUAGCCGGCCUGAGAGGGUGACCGGCCACAUUGGGACUGAGAUACGGCCCAGACUCCUACGGGAGGCAGCAGUGGGGAAUAUUGCACAAUGGGCGGAAGCCUGAUGCAGCAACGCCGCGUGCGGGAUGACGGCCUUCGGGUUGUAAACCGCUUUCGCCUGUGACGAAGCGUGAGUGACGGUAAUGGGUAAAGAAGCACCGGCUAACUACGUGCCAGCAGCCGCGGUGAUACGUAGGGUGCGAGCGUUGUCCGGAUUUAUUGGGCGUAAAGGGCUCGUAGGUGGUUGAUCGCGUCGGAAGUGUAAUCUUGGGGCUUAACCCUGAGCGUGCUUUCGAUACGGGUUGACUUGAGGAAGGUAGGGGAGAAUGGAAUUCCUGGUGGAGCGGUGGAAUGCGCAGAUAUCAGGAGGAACACCAGUGGCGAAGGCGGUUCUCUGGGCCUUUCCUGACGCUGAGGAGCGAAAGCGUGGGGAGCGAACAGGCUUAGAUACCCUGGUAGUCCACGCUGUAAACGGUGGGUACUAGGUGUGGGGUCCAUUCCACGGGUUCCGUGCCGUAGCUAACGCUUUAAGUACCCCGCCUGGGGAGUACGGCCGCAAGGCUAAAACUCAAAGGAAUUGACGGGGCCCCGCACAAGCGGCGGAGCAUGCGGAUUAAUUCGAUGCAACGCGUAGAACUUUACCUGGGUUUGACAUGGAUCGGGAGUGCUCAGAGAUGGGUGUGCCUCUUUUGGGGUCGGUUCACAGGUGGUGCAUGCCUGUCGUCAGCUCGUGUCGUGAGAUGUUGGGUUAAGUCCCGCAACGAGCGCAACCCUUGUUCACUGUUGCCAGCACGUUAUGGUGGGGACUCAGUGGAGACCGCCGGGGUCAACUCGGAGGAAGGUGGGGAUGACGUCAAGUCAUCAUGCCCCUUAUGUCCAGGGCUUCACGCAUGCUACAAUGGCUGGCACAGAGAGUGGCGAGCCUGUGAGGGUGAGCGAAUCUCGGAAAGCCGGUCUCAGUUCGGAUUAGGGUCUGCAACUCGACCUCAUGAAGUCGGAGUCGCUAGUAAUCGCAGAUCAGCAACGCUGCGGUGAAUACGUUCCCGGG
rnacentral:rRNA from 1 species